GAUGAACGCUGGCGGCGUGCCUAAUACAUGCAAGUCGAGCGAACAGACCAGGAUCUUGCUCCUCUGACGUUAGCGGCGGACGGGUGAGUAACACGUGGAUAACCUACCUAUAAGACUGGGAUAACUUCGGGAAACCGGAGCUAAUACCGGAUAAUAUAUUGAACCGCAUGGUGCAAUAGUGAAAGACGGUUUUGCUGUCACUUAUAGAUGGAUCCGCGCCGCAUUAGCUAGUUGGUAAGGUAACGGCUUACCAAGGCAACGAUGCGUAGCCGACGUGAGAGGGUGAUCGGCCACACUGGAACUGAGACACGGUCCAGACUCCUACGGGAGGCAGCAGUAGGGAAUCUUACGAAAUGGGCGAAAGCCUGACGGAGCAACGCCGCGUGAGUGAUGAAGGUCUUCGGAUCGUAAAACUCUGUUAUUAGGGAAGAACAAAUGUGUAAGUAACUAUGCACGUCUUGACGGUACCUAAUCAGAAAGCCACGGCUAACUACGUG
rnacentral:rRNA from 1 species